rnacentral:rRNA from 1 species
GGACCUACGGGGGGCAGCAGUGGGGAGUAUUGCACAAUGGGGGAAACCCUGAUGCAGCGACGCCGCGUGAGCGAAGAAGUAUUUCGGUAUGUAAAGCUCUAUCAGCAGGGAAGAAAAAUGACGGUACCUGAGUAAGAAGCACCGGCUAAAUACGUGCCAGCAGCCGCGGUAAUACGUAUGGUGCAAGCGUUAUCCGGAUUUACUGGGUGUAAAGGGAGCGCAGGCGGUGCGGCAAGUCUGAUGUGAAAGCCCGGGGCCCAACCCCGGAACUGCACUGGAAACUGUGCGGCUAGAGUACUGGAGGG